UACGUAGGGUGCAAGCGUUACUCGGAAUUACUGGGCGUAAAGCGUGCGCAGGCGGUCUUGCAAGACAGAUGUGAAAUCCCCGGGCUUAACCUGGGAAUGGCAUUUGAGACUGCAUAGCUAGGGUGCGGAAGAGGGAAGCGGAAUUUCCGGUGUAGCGGUGAAAUGCGUAGAUAUCGGAAGGAACACCAGUGGCGAAAGCGGCUCCCUGGUCCAGCACCGACGUUCAGGCACGAAAGCGUGGGGAGCAAACAGG
rnacentral:rRNA from 1 species